rnacentral:tRNA from 1 species
GACUCGUUAGCUCAGUUGGUAGAGCAUUUGACUUUUAAUCAAAGGGUCACUGGUUCGAGCCCAGUAGGGUCA